CCGAGGCCGAAAGGCGUAGGCGAUGGACAAUCGGUUGAUAUUCCGAUACCACUACUGAUCGUUAUUAUCGAUGGUGUGACGGAGAAGGAUAGAGUGUGCUAGCUAUUGGAUGCUAGUCUAAGCGUUUAGGGAGUUAGGAAAGGCAAAUCCGUCCUAACAAUUCUGAGGCGUGAUGGGGAAGGUUCUACGGAACCGAAGUACUUGAUUCCAUGCUUCCAAGAAAAGCAUCUAGAGAGAGAUGUAGUGCCCGUACCGCAAACCGACACAGGUAGAUGAGGAGAGAAUCCUAAGGCCGGCGGAAGAAUCACAGUUAAGGAACUAGGCAAAUUGACCCCGUAACUUAGGGAGAAGGGGUGCCUGUGAGAGCAGGCCGCAGAGAAUAGGCCCAAGCAACUGUUUAGCAAAAACACAGGUCUCUGCUAAAGCGAAAGCUGAUGUAUAGGGGCUGACGCCUGCCCGGUGCUGGAAGGUUAAGGGGAACACUUAGCGCAAGCGAAGGUGUGAACUUAAGCCCCAGUAAACGGCGGCCGUAACUAUAACGGUCCUAAGGUAGCGAAAUUCCUUGUCAGGUAAGUUCUGACCCGCACGAAUGGCGUAAUGACUUGGGCACUGUCUCAACUGUGAAUCCGGCGAAGUUGUAGUGCGAGUGAAGAUGCUCGCUACCCGCGAUUGGACGGAAAGACCCCGUAGAGCUUUACUGUAGCUUAGCAUUGAAUUUCGGUAUUGUCUGUACAGGAUAGGUGGGAGACUGGGAAAUCAGGGCGUCAGCCUUGAUGGAGUCGUCCUUGGGAUACCACCCUGACAGUACUGAGGUUCUAACUGGAUGCCAUGAAUCUGGUGACAGGACAUUGUUAGGUGGGCAGUUUGACUGGGGCGGUCGCCUCCUAAAAAGUAACGGAGGCGCCCAAAGGUUCCCUCAGAACGGUCGGAAAUCGUUCGAAGAGUGCAAAGGCAGAAGGGAGCCUGACUGCGACACCCACAAGUGGAGCAGGGACGAAAGUCGGGCUUAGUGAUCCGGUGGUACCUCGUGGGAGGGCCAUCGCUCAACGGAUAAAAGCUACCUCGGGGAUAACAGGCUGAUCUCCCCCAAGAGUCCACAUCGACGGGGAGGUUUGGCAC
rnacentral:rRNA from 1 species